UUGUGACCCCAGGUCAGGCGGGACUACCCGCUGAGUUUAA
rnacentral:rRNA from 4 species